UGAACGCUGGCGGCGUGCUUAACACAUGCAAGUCGACCGAAGCACUUUAUUUGAUUUCCUUCGGGACUGAUUCUUUUGUGACUGAGUGGCGGACGGGUGAGUAACGCGUGGGUAACCUGCCUUGUACAGGGGGAUAACAGUUGGAAACGGCUGCUAAUACCGCAUAAGCGCACAGCAUCGCAUGAUGCAGUGUGAAAAACUCCGGUGGCAUAAGAUGGACCCGCGUUGGAUUAGCUAGUUGGUGAGGUAACGGCCCACCAAGGCGACGAUCCAUAGCCGACCUGAGAGGGUGACCGGCCACAUUGGGACUGAGACACGGCCCAAACUCCUACGGGAGGCAGCAGUGGGGAAUAUUGCACAAUGGGCGAAAGACUGAUGCAGCGACGCCGCGUGAGCGAAGAAGUAUUUCGGUAUGUAAAGCUCUAUCAGCAGGGAAGAUAAUGACGGUACCUGACUAAGAAGCACCGGCUAAAUACGUG
rnacentral:rRNA from 1 species